UGAAUAUUCGAAUCAAUGAAUGCUCAAAAAUAUUUCAAAAACCGAGUGUGUUGAUUUCGUUAAUUUGAAUAGGAAGAUCUGAUGC